GGGUACCGCCACCUUCUCCCGCUUGCUUGCACGUUCGGUAUAAACGUGACGCUCGCG
rnacentral:ncRNA from 1 species